CAUCCCAGCUUCAGCCGACCCCUGUCGGCUUCACGCGUCCCCUCACGGCUUCGUCCGCCCCAGCCCGGAGCCCUGAGGGGAGCCAUGGGCCGUCCGACCUACUUUGGUAUCUGCUCUGCCUCUGUGGGGCCUCGCUGGCUUCACGGAGCUCAGUAAAAACAAAAAAAGUCGAUACACAGUCAGACACGAAGGGAAUGGUUUAAUUCUUCUGUACAGGUAGGACAACUGGAUGGACUGCAGUAAGGAAACAGAGACAAGUGUGCCUGUGAGCUGCUGUGAGGGAGAAGAAGAGAACUCAGGGAGUUUUCUGUCAGAGACAGAAACUGUCAUGAUUAUAAACUUCACUGUAAAUGUGAAGUUCAAAGUGCAAUCAAAUAGCCCUGUCCUGAAUAAAUUCCUUGUUUCUGCUUCAUCUAUGGAUUUUCUGUAGAGAAAAUCAUCCAUUUCCAAGCCAAGCUCUAUUCAAAAUGCAACUGAGAAAGGAUGUAACAACUCACUGCUGCUCACUUUGCUUCUCUGCCUGCUCUUCACUGCCCUGUUUUGUGAAGUUUAGCUUUCAUCUCCUCUAGGCUUGAGAGAAAGCGAGGCAUUAGGAAGCCAAGGAAAUUACUGUACUUGCCAAUACACUCUUACAAGAGGAGAGGCAAAUAUUGAGAGUGAACUCCCAGUCCCUUCAGCAUUAGAAUGGAGACAGGUGCUUGUUGUUGGCUGCAGCCAUGCCAAAGUUAUCUCAUGGUUAUGGAAGCAAGGGCAGUCCAUACCAGCUGUCAUACAAUCACAGAAACACAGAAUCCCAGGGUCCCUGAGGCUGGAAAAUCCCUGCCAGCCCAUGGAGUCCCAGCUGUGCCCAGUGCCCACCUUGUGCCCAGCCCAGAGCACUGAGUGCCACCUCCAGCCCUUCCUGGGACACCUGCAGGGCUGGGCA
rnacentral:lncRNA from 1 species